UACGAAGGGGGCUAGCGUUGCUCGGAAUCACUGGGCGUAAAGGGUGCGUAGGCGGGCCUUUAAGUCAGGGGUGAAAUCCUGGAGCUCAACUCCAGAACUGCCUUUGAUACUGGCGACCUUGAGUCCGGGAGAGGUGAGUGGAACUGCGAGUGUAGAGGUGAAAUUCGUAGAUAUUCGCAAGAACACCAGUGGCGAAGGCGGCUCACUGGCCCGAUACUGACGCUGAGGCACGAAAGCGUGGGGAGCAAACAGG
rnacentral:rRNA from 1 species